UGCUAGACCGGGGAGUUCGCCCUUCCCUGUUACUCGAAAUGGGAUGUACGCGAGGGUCGAAGCCUGGGGGGCGGUUUGCUCCUUGAGUGUUAGUCCUGUUUGGACUGUCGAGGCUCUGUCCUUAUUGGCUCUUAUCUUUGUGAACCGGGUCAGGCUGGGAACAGAGCAGCCCUAAGCUUAGGCAAGGGUGCUUUAAGGGUUGCGGAGCGGAGGAAAGAACAGGGUAAGCUAGUGCUUAUUCAGCUUAUCCACCUCCAGGCGUGCA
rnacentral:SRP_RNA from 1 species